rnacentral:rRNA from 1 species
UACGGAGGGUGCAAGCGUUGUCCGGAUUUAUUGGGUUUAAAGGGUGCGUAGGCGGCCAAUUAAGUCAGCGGUGAAAGACUCCGGCUCAACCGGAGCAGUGCCGUUGAUACUGGUUGGCUUGAGUGUUGGGUAGGUACAUGGAAUUGAUGGUGUAGCGGUGAAAUGCAUAGAUACCAUCAGGAACACCGAUAGCGAAGGCAUUGUACUGGCCAACAACUGACGCUGAUGCACGAAAGCGUGGGUAGCGAACAGG